GAGUGCCAGUUACCUUCAGUUUCUGGAGCUGGCCGUCAACAUGUCCUUUCCUAAGGCGCCCCUGAAACGAUUCAAUGACCCUUCUGGUUGUGCACCAUCUCCAGGUGCUUAUGAUGUUAAAACUUUAGAAGUAUUGAAAGGACCAGUAUCCUUUCAGAAAUCACAAAGAUUUAAACAACAAAAAGAAUCUAAACAAAAUCUUAAUGUCGACAAAGAUACUACCUUGCCUGCUUCAGCUAGAAAAGUUAAGUCUUCGGAAUCAAAGGUGAGGAGCUUUUAUAUGCCAGCUGGUUUAUCAACUGUAUCAUCAAAAACAUCUGAAAGUAUUGUAUUUGAGUAGAAUGGGUUAAGUGUAUGAAUCAAGGUUAUAAGUAAAUCUGUAAACUAAUGAAAUGAGUUAUCAUUAGAACUCUAGCAAGUUUUACAUUUCUGCCUAGGUCAUUAUGUUUAAAUGUGCCCUUAGUUCCCAAUUAUAAUGGUCUUCAAUUCUCAAUCACUUCUGUGUUUAAAUUGUUUAUUACCUAGUAAACAUUUCAAAAUUAUGGAUGCUUUGAUUUAUUAAGUACCACCAUUUGAGUUGUUUUGUUUUUGUGUAUUUGUUUCUGGGGAAGGGUAAGUGUUUUUGAAGAAAAGGGGGAAAAAAUGCCAAUAUCUAAGAGAGGUUUGCUAC
rnacentral:sRNA from 1 species